rnacentral:rRNA from 1 species
AUUGAACGCUGGCGGAAUGCUUUACACAUGCAAGUCGAGCGGCAGCGCGGGGCAACCUGGCGGCGAGCGGCGAACGGGUGAGUAACAUAUCGGAACGUACCCAGUCGUGGGGGAUAACUAUCCGAAAGGAUAGCUAAUACCGCAUACGACCUGAGGGUGAAAGCGGGGGACCGAAAGGCCUCGCGCGAUUGGAGCGGCCGAUAUCGGAUUAGCUAGUUGGUGAGGUAAAGGCUCACCAAGGCGACGAUCCGUAGCUGGUCUGAGAGGACGACCAGCCACACUGGAACUGAGACACGGUCCAGACUCCUACGGGAGGCAGCAGUGGGGAAUUUUGGACAAUGGGGGGCAACCCUGAUCCAGCCAUUCCGCGUGAGUGAAGAAGGGCCUUCGGGUUGGUUAAAGGACUCUUU